rnacentral:tRNA from 1 species
GGACCGUGGCUCAGCGGUAGAGUAUCUGCUUGGCGUGCAGAAGGUCCCAGGUUCAUUCCCCAUCAUCUCCA